AACGAACGCUGGCGGCAGGCCUAACACAUGCAAGUCGAGCGCCCCGCCAGGGGAGCGGCGGACGGGUGAGUAACGCGUGGGAAUAUGCCCUUUGCUACGGAAUAGUCUCGGGAAACUGGGGGUAAUACCGUAUACGCCCUUUGGGGGAAAGAUUUAUCGGCGAGGGAUUAGCCCGCGUUGGAUUAGGUAGUUGGUGGGGUAAUGGCCUACCAAGCCGACGAUCCAUAGCUGGUUUGAGAGGAUGAUCAGCCACACUGGGACUGAGACACGGCCCAGACUCCUACGGGAGGCAGCAGUGGGGAAUCGUAGACAAUGGGGGCAACCCUGAUCGAGCCAGGCCGCGUGAGUGAUGAAGGCCUUAGGGUUGUAAAGCGCUUUCAGCUGGGAAGAUAAUGACGGUACCAGCAGAAGAAGCCCCGGCUAACUCCGUG
rnacentral:rRNA from 1 species